rnacentral:rRNA from 1 species
CCUACGGGAGGCAGCAGUGAGGAAUAUUGGUCAAUGGACGAGAGUCUGAACCAGCCAAGUCGCAUGAAGGAUGACUGCCCUAUGGGUUGUAAACUUCUUUUAUAUGGGAAUAAAAUGUUCCACGUGUGGGAUUUUGUAUGUACCAUAUGAAUAAGGAUCGGCUAACUCCGUGCCAGCAGCCGCGGUAAUACGGAGGAUCCGAGCGUUAUCCGGAUUUAUUGGGUUUAAAGGGAGCGUAGGUGGAUUGUUAAGUCAGUUGUGAAAGUUUGCGGCUCAACCGUAAAAGUGCAGUUGAAACUGGCAGUCUUGAGUACAGGAGAGGUGGGCGGAAUUCGUGGUGUAGCGGUGAAAUGCUUAGAUAUCACGAAGAACUCCGAUUGCGAAGGCAGUUCACUGGACUGCAACUGACACUGAGGCUCGAAAGUGUGGGUAUCAAACAGGAUUAGAUACCCCUGUAGUC